rnacentral:rRNA from 1 species
UACGUAGGGGGCAAGCGUUGUCCGGAAUUAUUGGGCGUAAAGAGCUCGUAGGUGGUUUGUCGCGUCGAAUGUGAAACCCGGGGCUCAACCCCGGGCCUGCAUUCGAUACGGGCAGACUAGAGUUCGGUAGGGGAGUCUGGAAUUCCUGGUGUAGCGGUGAAAUGCGCAGAUAUCAGGAGGAACACCGGUGGCGAAGGCGGGACUCUGGGCCGAUACUGACGCUGAGGAGCGAAAGCGUGGGGAGCAAACAGG